CCUACGGGUGGCAGCAGUGAGGAAUAUUGGUCAAUGGACGGAAGUCUGAAGCAGCGACGCCGCGUGCAGGAAGACGGUUCUAUGAGCUGUAAACUGCUUUUGUACAAGGGAAAACCUGAAUACGUGUAUUCAGCUGAAAGUACUGUACGAAUAAGGAUCGGCCAACUCCGUGCCAGCAGCCGCGGUAAUACGGAGGAUCCAAGCGUUAUCCGGAUUUAUUGGGUUUAAAGGGUGCGUAGGCGGAUUGAUAAGUUAGAGGUGAAAUGUCCGAGCUUAACUCGGGAACUGCCUUUAAUACUGUUGAUCUAGAGAGUAGAUGCGGAAGGCGGAAUGUAUGGUGUAGGGGUGAAAUGCUUAGAGAUCAGACGGAACACCAAUUGCGAAGGCAGCUUACCAAUCUAUAUCUGACGUUGAGGCACGAAAGCGUGGGGAGCAAACAGGAUUAGAUACCCCAGUAGUC
rnacentral:rRNA from 1 species